GGCAAUCCUUGCCAACCUCAUCCUGCUCAGAGAAGGCCACGCUCAGGCUUUUCAGAGCAGAGAGUAACAUUGUUUCUUGCUGCCCUUUGGCCACUGUGGUACGGUUAGCUGAGGAGAGGCCUUGGCGAUGGCACUGCCAGAGACUGAUGAACAAGGAGAAGCUGAAUAUGGAGGGAAGGGAGAAAAAAGAGGAGACCAGGAAGGAUUGAAGCUGCCCUCUCUCCCUUAGCAUCUCAAGGCCUUGCCGCAUCGUCGGACACACGCGGAAAGCCUAGGGUCCUGAAGCCCCGCCCCGCCAAAGCCGCCUCUCCCCGGAGCCACUUCUGACCCGGCUACAGCCUUCCUGAUGGCAUAAGAGCCAUUUUUUUGGGCCACGGUGAACUGAGGGAUCCAGGCUCAGCUCUCAGACUUGGAUCGACCUCUCAGUGGCAAGGCCUGAGGGCUCGUCAGUCCCAGUAAGCCAACAGGGCAUGAAGCUGCACCCUAGAAUUGACAAGGAGGAGGGUGGGGGCCCCGCCUAGAGGAUUCUCUUCCACAGCUGCAUUUUCUGAGUGACAAUCAUGAGCCAGAAGGAAGAGAGAAUAAUCCUUCCUGAGCAUCUACUAUGCACUCAUAAUUUUUUGCACUUGGCCUUUGCGGCAACCUAAGCGGCAGUACUGUUUUCCCCGGCCCCUGCUGGUAACAUCGCGGGGCCAGGGCUGGGGUGCAGACGGAGGGCCACAUCCCCCGUGCCACAGGCGUCAGUGUUCUAAAGCCAUCUGCCUGCUCUGUCAAAAAAGGUGGCCUUGGGUGUGGCAGCUAAUGAAGCUUUCCUCUGCAGGGGUACCUCACAGAGCACAGAGACGCAAGAAUGUACAGCACCAGGAGUGAACCCUAAUGUAAACCAUGGACGUUGGGUGAUAACGAUGUGUCAGUGUAGGCUCAUCAGUUGUAACAAAUUUAGCGAAUGCCGAACCUGAACCUGACGUCUGUCUCCUGGAAACUUGUGCCCAUCAGUCCCAUAGUGACUCAGAGCACCUCCUCUUCCUCGUGACCGUCCUUCAGAUGUCUACAGAUCACAGGAACAUCCCCCUGAGUAUUUCCUCUGCUUCCAGCUAAGCUUUUAUAUUUCCUUGGACCAUUUUGGUUUUUUCAGCCACUUUAUCUUCCUCCGAACAAGAAGCUGCCUUGUUCUUAGAUGACCCAUCUCCAUGGCCAGAGUGGAUGGGUACAGAGGAGGUAUUGACGCAAGCUGUCCGAUCCGAUUUCUGCUCUCGGAUUUUUCAAACUGGCGCUGAAGUCAGUCAGAUCCUCUCUGGGUAGGAGCUGACGGAUGUGAGGUUUGGGAUGUGUUGACAGCCGUGUUUUCUGCCGUGUGUGGGAAGAACACCAUGUAAGAGAGACAAUGAAGGUGACCCUGAGAGGAGCAGAGAAAUGGAGGGGGAGGGACUGCCGGCAGCCUUCGGGCAUCUGGAUGCGGUUGCCCCGGAAGCCCAGCGCUAUCCCUGUCCUUCCGGUGGAUUGUCAUUCAAUCCUUUUUGUAUUCUGUGAACCAAUAAAGUCCCUUUGUCUAAACCAGUUUACAGUGGAUUUCUGAGACUUUCAAAUAAGAGAAUCAAACUGGCCACAUCUGAAAACCUAGAGCGUGGGCUUUGGAAUUCAAAAAGCCUCGGUUUGAAUCCUAUGUUCGCCACUUAUUACCUUUGUGAUCUUUAGGAAAUUUCCUAAGUACUCUGACCUCGUUUUCUUCACCUGUAAAAUGGGACCAGCAUUCGGUACGUUACCGCUUUGCUAUAAGGAAUAAGGAAGGAUCCUGCCUAUAAAGGCCACUUCUGCACCUGACACACAGUAGUCUCAUCCCAUUGGCAACAGCAAAGCAAAUUUUAUCUUUAUUACUACCGAGUUUCAGUUAAUUCAGGCAUUUACACAAGCUGUCACAAAAUUUGUUUCCUCACCCUGAACUGACUUUUUGAGCCUAAUUGCUGGAUUUUCAGAAUGUUUCUGCUCACUUUCCCCUUUGUUAAUUCCAGAAAAAUUGUUUAACAGAAAUGUUGAAGUUUUUCAAAGGACAGAUGCUCCUCUGUCCCCUAGGAAGCUUCUGACUUGUGUUGUUUUCAGAGUUUCAUGACCAGGGCAACAGAAGCAGUCAAUGUUUGAAGUCUUUCUCCUCUGCUGUGGGUAAAUUCUUGGGCCCUUUCCCAGAAAUGACUUUCCAGAAUAAUUGUUCUAGAAAGCUCCACGGAGACUGCCUGUCUGCUGAACUGUCACACGUUGGAGUUAAUUCACAGUUCCCGUCAUCUAUCCACAAUGAUAUGCAAAAAGCCCUUGGCUUGGAGAUAGAAGAUUCUAGGCUCAAUUUCCAGCUUUCGAAGUUUCCAGACUCCUCGGGUUACGAGUCCUGUAGGGGCUGGUGCAGGAGUUCUAAGAUGAACUCAGCUACUGACCUCAAACAGAUCAUGUUCUAAUGGAAGAGAGCAGUCACAUACAGCUGUCAUUUAACAGAUAUAAUAACAUUCCUUUGAAGCCAGUGAUGGCCAUGUGACUUUUUUUCUGGCCAAUGAAAACUAAGCAGAAGUCAGCUGAAGGGUGUUUCUGGAAAAUCUCUUGCUGUCAUGAUAAAAGGAAAAAGAUGCAGCAGCUAUGGCUCUUUGUCUUUUCUCCCUUCUUCCUGCUUUAUGUGAUGAUGUGAUGACUGGAACUAUGGCAGCCAUCCUGAGCAAUGAGGCAAGAAACAUAAGUAGAAGACAACAUUCCAUGGAUAGCACAGGAAAGACAGAAGGAGUCCAUGUCCCUGAUGGCAUCACUGAGCAGCCAAACCAUUGCCAUCAAUUUCUCACCUCUAGAUUUUUUGUGUGAGAAAAAUAAACCCCCCGUUUGUUGAAACUGUGUGUAUCAGAUAUUUGUGCACCACAUUGCAUCUCUAAACCUUUGAUUCCAGUCAUGUAUAUGUUUUGCAAACAUUUUCUCCCCAUCUGUGGCUUGUCUUUUGGUUUUCUUAACAAUAGUUUUCAAAGAGCAAAAGUUUAAAUUUUGAUGGAGUCCAUUGUAUCAAUCUUUUCCUUUUCAGGUUUGUGUUUUUUUAUGUUCUUUGCUUACCUAAGGUCACAAAAGUUUUCCUCCUGUUUUGUUUUUUUUUUUAGAAGAUUUAUCGUUUCAGCUCUUACACUUAGGCCUAUGAAUGCUUUUGAGUUAAUAUUUUAUAUGGCUUGAUAUAUGAGUGAAGGUUAUUUUUUUUUUGCCUUAUAGAUACCCAGUGGUUCCAUUUGUUGAAAAGUCUAUUCUUCCCCCAUUUUAAGUACCAUGGCAUCUUUGUCAAAAUCAAUUGACCAUGUUAGAAUGGGUCUAUUUCUGAAAUCUUUUGUUCCAUCGAUUUUUUUUAUUGUUGUUCCAUUGAUUUUUGUGUCUACCUUUGUGCUAGCAUCUUGCUGACUUUGGUAGCACUAUAGUGUAUUGUAAAUGGAGGUGAUUUUUUUUUUUUUUUUUGGUGAGGAAGAUUGGCCCUGAGCGAACAUCUAUUGACAAUCUUUCUCUUUUUACUUAAAGGAAGAUUGUCCCUGAGCUAACAUCUGUGCCAAUCUUCCUGUAUUUUGUAUGUGGGACAACCUCCACGGCAUGACUCCCUCUCUCAAUAAGCAGUGAGUGGGUCCGCACCCAGGAUCUGAACUGGUGAACCCCAUGCUGCCGAAGCAGAGUGUGCAAACUUAACCUCUAUGCCCCUGGCCAGCCCCUGGAGUUGAUUUUUAAAUUUUAGUUUCUAAUUGCUCAUAUCAGUAUAUAGAAAUGCAAUUAAUUUUUGUAUAUCGCCCUUGAAUCUUUCACUUUUGCUGGAAUCACUUAUAAUUCUACAGCUUUUUUCUUCUUUUGGUGUAUUCCUAGGAUUUGUCUGGGUACACAGUCAUGAUGUCUACAAAUAAAGUCAAUUUCUCCUUUAUGCAAUCGAUUGUUAUCUGUCAGGAUUUAUUCCUUAUCUUUGGGCCUUAACCAGUUGACCACAUGUGGCUCAGCAUGACCUUCUUCAUGUUUGUCCUGCCUGAUGUUCAUUGAGCAUCUUGAAUCUGUAAAUUCAUAUUUAUAAUCAAAUUUGGGAAAAUUUCAGCCAUUAUUUCCUCACAUGUUUUUUCUGCUCCAUUCUCUUGCUCUCCUCUCCUUCUGGAACUCCGCUUACAUAUAUGUUAGACCAUCCGAUACUCAGGUCCCUGAGUCUCUGUUCUUUUUUUUAAAAAAAAUCUUUUUCUCUCUGUUCUUCAGAUUAUAUAAUUUCU
rnacentral:lncRNA from 1 species